rnacentral:misc_RNA from 1 species
UUUUAACUAAUACAAAAAAUCAGUACCUGUGAUUUAAGCUUAAAUAUAUUUUUUUAAUUUUCAAGUAAACAGCUGAUUAAAGCCACAUCAAACCGGGUUGUAUUAAAUUAUCAUAAAUAAUAGUUGCUAUAAGAAUAUUAAAUCAAGAAAAAUUUAUAUGUAUUCAAAAAAAUAUUUACAAAUAUAAAAUAAUUAUGAAUAGAUGGCUUCUGAUAAUAAGUUUGAUAUUAGUUAUAACAACAAUAGAAGGUACUUUGUCGCCACGUACUGAUAAAUCAAAAAAAGAUAAAGGAAGAACAGAGAUUAAGAAAGGACCGGUUGAUAAUAGUGUAUUCGACCGAGGUUUAGUUGUCCAAGAUCCUAAGAUUAGUGAUAUUGUCAAACAAGCUGGUCUUUAUUACAAAGACACCAAGAAAAGACAUUUUAAUAAUGAUGUAUUAGGAUAUAUAACUCCAUGGAAUGGUGAAGGACUUGAAAUAGCUAAGACCUUUCAUGGUAAAUUAACGCUUGUUUCUCCAGUAUGGUUCAAUUUACAAAGUUCUGAUAAGUUUCAAAUUGCCACGCAUGAUGUACAGAAGAAAUGGCUCAAAGAUAUAAAAACAGCUAAUGAAGGAAACCAUACUGUCAAAAUCUUACCCAGAGUUUUAUUUGAACAGUGGUCAGCGGGUGAUAUAUCUUCAUUGAACCGUGAUGUUCAGAAAAAAAAUCAACUAAUAACUUCGCUUGUUGAUUUAGCUCAGAAAUUUCAGUUUCAUGGAUAUGUAUUAGAAAUAUGGAAUCAAGUAAUUUACACAGGAGCUGAGUCAAAAGUUGUAGUCAAUGUAAUAAAAUCUUUGGCCAAAAGACUUAAAAGUAAACAAUUACAAGUAAUAUUAGCUAUUCCACCAGCUCAAGGACCACCGGGACAAAUAUUCUCACAAGGCCAAUUUGAAGAGUUGUCACCUCACAUUGAUUUCUUUUCAUUAAUGACCUAUGAUUUUUCAAAUGUCCAGCGACCUGGACCAAACAGUCCACUUGAAUGGGCACGAGAAUGCGUUGAAAAAUUAGUACCUGACGACGAUGAUCCAAAACGCUCUAAAAUAUUAAUGGGGCUAAACUUUUACGGAAAUAAUUACACACCUGAUGGUGGUGGUGCUAUUUUGGGAUCUGAGUACAUAAAAUAUCUCGAUUCUUACAAGGGUAAACUGCAGUGGGAUGAAAGAAGUAAAGAACAUCUGUUAGAAUAUCGAUCAUCAAAAGCCAGUGGUUAUAUAUUUUAUCCUACGCUCUAUUCCAUCCAACAAAGAAUAGACUUAGCCCGAGAAUUAGGAACUGGACUCUCAAUUUGGGAACUUGGCCAAGGUUUAAAUUACUUUUACGACCUAUUUUAAUGCGAUAAAACGGAAAAAUAAAAAACGAAUCCAAAAGCAUUACAUGAUACGAUUUCUGAUGAGAUUUGAGGCAAUACAUAAUCGUACAUUAAGAACGUCAUGCACAUGCGAUUAAAGUUCCAGUGGCCGGAUUUCUGGCGAGGUGAACGCGUUCCCCCAGGUGGUAUAUCUCUUUGGCGCUCACUCAUCGUACGACUAGAACUCUACGCAGAUACACCAGCAUAUAAUAACAAAACUGGAAUAAGACAAACUAGGCUAGAUGAAAGAUCACCAGCAGUGUCCUAGUGGUCGUCCUGUCCGGUUAUAUGUUUUAUUGCAAAUUAUGAUAUGUAUGAGUACAACUGAACGUGGCUGGGACAACAAAUAAGAAGGUAAUUGAAGCAUAGAGAGUAACAUAAGUACAGAAGGAAGCACGUGGCGAUACACACCAGCAAGAACCGAAAGCGUUCGAAUACAUCCGAGCAUUCGCCACCAGACACUAGACUACCACUACUUCCAUCAGCUACCACCUCUCAUUGAACAACAACUGCCGGACAAGUCGGAGUGUUUGCUGCUACCACCGUUGAUUCAACAUCGUUCAACAGAUACUUCUUACCCUAUUUCAAUCGGCCACCAACUCUCGUAGCAUCGAGUUCUUAACUAUCGUUACUCACGGAUGGACCAAAUAAUAGUUAUGAUUGAUUCCUCAUCCGACUUUUAAUUAUUUACCUAAGUGAUUUUAUUUUUAUUCAGUUCUACUA